rnacentral:lncRNA from 1 species
AAAGGCUUUUAACAGAAAUGAAUACUUUCAGACCAGUUUUGAAGGACUGAGUAGGAGUAAACUAAAAGAGAAAAAGCAGGACAAAAGAAGCACCACUUUGGAAGCUCAAAGCCGCACUGGAAACACAGUCUUUCAGGAUGUCUGAAAGGGGCAAGUCUGUUUGUGUGGGAUAUACAGGGAGUCCACGGAGCCUCCCCUGCAAGCAUCAGUACAGAAGUCGAUGAUAAUCUGGAUGCAAGCCCAGGAGUGUGGAGUCCACUGACUCAGAAGACCUGCAUCUAAGGAAUUGGCUGUUCUUAUCCUUAAGAAUGAUGACUGUGUUUCCAAUUCCAGUAGACCCUUUGAUGCGUUCUGAAUAAAUAUUCCUUUUGGAAUUGAACUUCUAGAGCCCUUAACUUUGGCCCACUCUAGUUUUCUGUCUGUUUUUUUUUUAAAUAUUUUUUUUGUAAAGAUAAGGUCUUGCUUUGUUGCCCAGGCUGGUCUUGAAUUCCUGGACUCAAGCAAUCCACCUGCCUUGGCCUCCCAAAGUGCUGGGAUUAUAGGUGUGAACCAUUGUGUCCGAUCGCUCUCUGGUUUUUCUAAUAUCAUGAUCCCAACUCUGUUCUUUAUGUAAAUUUCCCUGAUCACAUGGUUGCAUCUUGGCAUUUCAAAAUCCUUAACAGACUUUGUUUUGUUUGAAUUUUACAAUGAACUUACAUGACUAGGCAUGGUCCCCAGUUCAGUUUUAUAGACAAGGAUUCUGUAGGUCAAGAAGUGAAACACAACCAAUAACAGCAGGUGACAGGAUUUAAACCUGGGUCACUUUACUUAUUUUUUUCUACUCUAUCAUUAUGUGAAUCUAUCCUACCUCUGCAAUGACAGAUGGCCCUAGAGCAAGAACACUUCCUUACAUCUGGUAUACAGUCAAAAAGUAAAAAUUCCACACAAAUAAAUAUGGAAAGAAUUUUUACCUGCUCCUAUAGCUUCCUUUCAGGGACCUGGAACCCACAAAUGUUGGGUAACAGAAAGAGGACUUAUGUAACUUAACUCAAAGCAGAAAAGUUACAGAGACUGUCUUAGCAUAAUAGAACAUGGAGUGGUCAUGCUUGGAUGUGCAAACUGUCUGAUAGCCUUGCACAUGGCUUGACCCCGAAUUACACUAGUGGGGCAAGUUGCCUGGGGCAAAGCAAAC